CAGGUGCUGCAUGGCUGUUGUCAGUUUGUUUCGUGAGAUUUUGGUUUAAUUCCCGCAACGAGCCCACCCUUUUUUUUUUGUUGCCAUUAUUGAGUUGGGCUUUUUAGAGGAUCCCCCGGCGACAAGCGGGAGGAAGGUGGGGAUGAUGUAAUGUUCUCAUGCCCUUUACACCGUGGGAUACACAUGUUUUACAAGGGCGGUGACAGUGGGCAGCUACUUCGAGAGAGGGGGAAAAUC
rnacentral:rRNA from 1 species